UUAAACUAACGGAAUCUUAGUCUUUGCCAUCAAAGUUAACGGUGAUCAUCGCUGGUCACCAUCGUCGGUCGCCGGAGCUUCGUCGAAAUCUGCAACGCGAACCCAGAACAUGAUUUAGGGCCUCUCGAUCACGAUUUCAACGUAUUCCAACGUGAAAAAUACCAUUUGAUGUCCCAAAUAGGGUCUAGAAUCUUACCCAAACUCGAUUUAGGAGGAUGAAAGGUCAAAUCCACCUUGGAUUAGACGGGUGGGACUCGGCAAGGUUCGCUGGAUUCUAGAAAUGAAGAACAAAGAGCAUGCUUGUUAAACCAUAGCGAUUUCCCAACAAAUUUUCACAUGCAAAGAGGUAUUUCAGUACUUGGAAAGGAGUUAAACUGAGCUCGAGAUCCAUAACCCACAAACUAGUCGGAGUUUGCACGGAGAAGGUGAUUAGAAUUUAGGGAAAAGUGUAUAGCAAAUGCAGGGGGUUAAAUCUCUGGUUUCGAACUGGAAAACACCACAAAUCUUGUCCCAAGCAACAUUAAAACAUAAUGAAAGAAGAUUUGCAUAGAGAACUUCACCUGUGUUCGAGUUUCGGAGCUUGAAGCUCUCGACUUCAAUGGUGGUCUGUGAAGCAUGGAUAUGGAUACGGAUACGGUGAUACGAUACGACAUGACACGGCGAUACGAAAAAUCUCUAAAAAUUAAGAUAAGAUACGCUAUGGAUACGGCAAAUAAAAAUGUAUAUAGCAACAAAAAUAUACAUUUUAAAACAUAAUUCAUCAUUCAAAUUCAAGUACAUUUGAGUUGUUAGAGAAGGAAAGUUCAAAAUCUAAUCCUCUUUAUACAGUAGAAGAAGUAUGAGAGUCGUAUUCACCGUUUUAAUUAGAGGGAAGCUCUUUGUAUUUAGCAACUUUCAAUUAUAGAUGUCUCCUAUUAAUUUUCUCCUCAUCAUUACCUUUUUUUGAAAGUGUAAAUGUAUUUUAAAAGCAAGAUAGGUGUAUCCUAAAUGUAGGAUACGCAUACCCAUUAUGUCAAAUUCGUGUCCAUCAACCAGGAUACGUGUCGGAUGAGUAUCCGAGAGUAUCGGGCAAGUAUCGUAUCCAAUCAAGUAUCGGAUACGGGAUACGGGACCAAACAGAAGUAUCCGUGCAUCAUAG
rnacentral:lncRNA from 1 species